rnacentral:rRNA from 1 species
GUAGCGCACGGGUGCGUAACACGUAUGCAACCUACCUUUAACCGGGACAUAACCUCGAGAAAUUGAAGCUAAUAUCCCAUGUGAUUGUUUUUUGGCAUCAAGAGACAAUUAAAAUUCAGAUGGUUAAAGAUGGGCAUGCGUCCCAUUAGCUAGUUGGUGAGGUAACGGCUCACCAAGGCUACGAUGGGUAGGGGUUCUGAGAGGAUGAUCCCCCACACUGGUACUGAGACACGGACCAGACUCCUACGGGAGGCAGCAGUAAGGAAUAUUGGUCAAUGGACGCAAGUCUGAACCAGCCAUGCCGCGUGCAGGAAGACGGCCCUAUGGGUUGUAAACUGCUUUUGUACGGGAAGAACUACAUUUACGUGUAAAUGUUUGACGGUACCGUAAGAAUAAGGAUCGGCUAACUCCGUGCCAGCAGCCGCGGUAAUACGGAGGAUCCGAG